UCCGUAGGGUGACCUGCGGAGGGAUCAUUACCGAGUUUACAACUCCCAAACCCCUGUGAACAUACCACUUGUUGCCUCGGCGGAUCAGCCCGCUCCCGGUAAAACGGGACGGCCCGCCAGAGGACCCCUAAACUCUGUUUCUAUAUGUAACUUCUGAGUAAAACCAUAAAUAAAUCAAAACUUUCAACAACGGAUCUCUUGGUUCUGGCAUCGAUGAAGAACGCAGCAAAAUGCGAUAAGUAAUGUGAAUUGCAGAAUUCAGUGAAUCAUCGAAUCUUUGAACGCACAUUGCGCCCGCCAGUAUUCUGGCGGGCAUGCCUGUUCGAGCGUCAUUUCAACCCUCAAGCACAGCUUGGUGUUGGGACUCGCGUUAAUUCGCGUUCCUCAAAUUGAUUGGCGGUCACGUCGAGCUUCCAUAGCGUAGUAGUAAAACCCUCGUUACUGGUAAUCGUCGCGGCCACGCCGUUAAACCCCAACUUCUGAAUGUUGACCUCGGAUCAGGUAGGAAUACCCGCUGAACUUAAGCAUAUCAAUAAGCGGAGGAA
rnacentral:rRNA from 1 species